UUUUUUUCUUUCUUUUUCUUCUCCUCCUCUUCUCUUCUCCCGAUUUCUCCUUCCCCCUUUCUUCCCAUUUCUUCUCCCAUGGAGGGAGGAGGGCGAGCUCGGGAGGCUUGGGGAGAACGGGCAGCGGCUGAUGGCGCCCGGCGGCCGGCCUGCGGCGCCCACGGCCACACCCGCGGCCGUGCUCGGGGGCGCGUCGGCGGCCCGCGGCCGCGUCUGCCUCCCACUGCCGGCGACCCGCGUCCCACGGCCGACGACCCGCGGCCCACGGCCGAGGCCGGCGCCCGCGGUUGCGGCUACGGAUCAACCACCAGGAGAAGGUGAACGAGAUAAACAUGAAUGCAGAAUAUAAAUAUAUGUGCCACUCGGCAAAUGAACAUGGAGAUUUAGCAGAAGAGAAGGAAAAUAGUCUCUAUUGCUGAGAACUACAGAAAGCUAUAUUUGUUGCUAACUGCGAAUAGUGCUGAAAAAGGCAGAAUUGGACACUCGACCAACAAGCAGUCAUAUUUUUGCCUUUGUAUAUGGAGAUAAUAAACAAUGGUAUCAACAAUAGCAAUAGUGAUGCCUAAUUAUCCUCCUAAGAUACAAUAGUAACAAUAACUACUGUAGAACUUAUUAUUUGUCUUUGUUGUUGUAGCUGUUGUUGCUGUUGUUUCUAUUGUUGCUGUUAUUAAA